GACGAACGCUGGCGGCGUGCUUAGCACAUGCAAGUCGAACGGUAAGGCCCUUCGGGGUACACGAGUGGCGAACGGGUGAGUAACACGUGGGUGAUCUGCCCUGCACUUCGGGAUAAGCCUGGGAAACUGGGUCUAAUACCGGAUAGGACUCCUGGCUUCAUGGUUGGGGGUGGAAAGCUUUUGCGGUGUGGGAUGGGCCCGCGGCCUAUCAGCUUGUUGGUGGGGUAAUGGCCUACCAAGGCGACGACGGGUAGCCGGCCUGAGAGGGUGACCGGCCACACUGGGACUGAGAUACGGCCCAGACUCCUACGGGAGGCAGCAGUGGGGAAUAUUGCACAAUGGGCGCAAGCCUGAUGCAGCGACGCCGCGUGAGGGAUGACGGCCUUCGGGUUGUAAACCUCUUUCAGCAUCGACGAAGCGAAAGUGACGGUAGGUGCAGAAGAAGGACCGGCCAACUACGUGCCAGCAGCCGCCGUAA
rnacentral:rRNA from 1 species